AAAAAGUAAGUAAAAGUUUUUGUUUCUUAUAUUGGCAAGCUUUUAAAUUAUUUAAAGUUGCAGAACAAUUGUUUAUUAAUGUGCAGUCGAAGUUUGGGGUGAUUAGCCUUAUCUCGUUAAAUUUUGUUCAGCAUGAAACAGUCUGAACAGCAAUCCUCGAUUUUGUCAACAAUCUAAAACAUGCUAAGGAGUAGUCAUUCGUCGAUUUACCUGCAGCUUCCAGAUGAUCUGAAGGUCAGGAAUAUAGAAAAUAUUGUCAAUUUGAUAUUGAUGAUGAUCCAGUCAAGUCUGCUGAAGCCCAGAAGUUUCCAGACCAUGACAUUAAUGAAUAUUUCUUGAAUGGAAUGCGUGAGGAUUAGAAUGGAACCUUAUUCUGCCUUUUUACCAACUCACACCAUCUUUUCAAGAUUUAUGGAGCCAACCACAGAAGAAUUUGUUCUAUACACAUCAUUCAUAACAUUCUUAUUUAUGUUGCAUAACUUUAAAUGUUACUGGAUGAAUUGUGUUCACAUAAUGAAUACCAACAAACUUUUUAUCGAGUGCACUUAUUUUGUAUUUUUCCUAGCCAUCCAUCUAACAUAUGUUUUUAUAUAACAUAUUCAUAUACAUGUAACAUUUUUGGAAGCAGCUAUUUUUUUUAAAUUGGAAUUUAGGCUUACUAUUUUAUACAAGUUUUUUUUAAAGGGACUUGGACACGAUUUUAGAUCAAAAUUUUGUUUUCAAUUUCUUUAUGCAUAAAAUGACUUACUUGCACAUUUUGAAUAAUUGACCAUAAUUUGAAUGUUAGAAGUCAAGUUAUAAGAGAGAUACAGGGGUAAGAAUUUAUUGUUAUGUAAACAAAGCUCGAGUCUUAUGUUUGUUUACAAAUAAUAUAAAGUAUAAAAUUACCACUUCUUUAAGAAAAUGAUUCAUAGAAAAGAAGGUAAACUGAUUCGAUGUGAUCAUAAAUGAUAUUAUUAAUAGAAAAAAGCAACAUUUGAAUGAAACUUACACCAAUAAAACACAUAUGUAAACAAUAACAAGAAUCGCGCUUUGUUUACAGAACAAAGAAUAUUUAAUUCUUUAUCUUUCUUUUAACUCAGUAUUUGACUUUCAAAUUUUGACAAAGCAUUAAAAAUACCCAUAUCAACCAUUCUAAAUAUUGAAAAUGGAAAUAUGAAAUUUUGAAUUUUAAGCUCAAAUCGUGUCUAAGUCCCUUUAAUAUACUCUUUUGUAUACAAACAGAACAAAAUACUUAGUUACAAUGGGAAAUGGACAUAAUAUAUAUAAAAGUGUCUGAUAAAAGUAUAGGUCUUGUUCAUGAACAGAAGAAAUUGACAGAAACAUAUUCAGUUUUAGCCAUGAAAUACAAAUAUUAAUAUUUUUUAAGAAUAUUAUUUAAUCUAAAUAAGUUAUAAAAGUUCCCCUUUAUUCCAAUGUUUGGAAACAAA